GGAUCAAAAAUUUCAGAUGGGCCAGCACAAGGUAUCUUCCAAUUGCUAUAUAAGGCACCAUUUGCUAAGGAAGAAAAGUGCAAACUCUAGGGGCCCAAGAAUGUCUAUAAAUAGACCUAACCUCCUCCUCUCCUCUCAUCUUGCCCUAAGCCUCCAUAAAUCCUCCCAUAUGCUUCCGCCCUCUCUCUCCUUCAUUUUUUCAUAGGCCACAC
rnacentral:lncRNA from 1 species